ensembl:lncRNA
UGGCCAGUCACUCUUCUCUGGCCCUCUUUGCAACUCUUCGGCUUUUUCGGAGUCCCGGGGUGGGGUGGGGCCGCCCCAUGGGGGGUUAGCCCCUCCUCAGCACUUUUCGGUUUGAGGGAGGAAGGAGGGCCCUCGAGACCCGGCCGGCACCCUCACCCUUUCCCUUUCCCAGGGUGAAGAGGAGGUAGUCUUGUGGGCUCCUCCAGACCUAGCAUGAUCCCCUGCCUUCCUCCUGCGGAGGAGAGAAAGAUCUGGAUAAAGACCAAUGUGACCAAGAAGAGAACUGUAGCUCUGGAGAAGAGUCUGGAUGACACAGAGAUCCCUCGACCAUAAAGCCCCCAGCCUGGGUCCUCUCCAGCCCCUCAGCUCCAUGGGGACCAAAUUCAGCCACCAAAUGCCAUGCUUCACUUUGGUCAGCAGCUUCUGGGGGAUCAGACCCCAGUUCUCACCCAGAGUUUCAAAGAGGGGAGCCAGCCAGCUCCUUGGGAGCCCGGAUAUGAAAGAACAGGGAAUUCUGGAUCUGGUAACUCAAUCUCCUUCAGAACCACCUGGCACCCACCCUUCUGUGCCUUGUCUGAUUGCCCAGGGUCAUGACACCCAAUCUCUAGCUCCACCUGAAGUAGAGGGGAAUAGGGAGAGCUCCCAGAGUGAUAAAGAUUCCGAUUGGCCUGUCUCAACCUCCCCAACAGAUUCUGAGGAGGUCUAGCCAGCUUCUUGCCCCACCCCCCAUAAUGUCAGUCUGGACAGAGCCAACCCCAGCCCGCAUCUUAACUUGGAGGUGCGGUCCAGAGAUAACAGCUGUAAGCUGCCUAUUUGAGAUGAGCCAAGGAGAGACCAAGUCUACCCCGACUCCAAAGUCCUCCCUGGUCCCACCCACUCUGUAGCCCACCGAGGCAAAGGUGGAUUAUAUCAUCUCAUCCCCAUCCUAUCCCUCUCUGCAAUACUCCUUGAGAGCUGAUGAAGGCUACCUCUUCCCCUUCAUCUCUUCUUGUUGCUAUGUUACAGUAUUGGGAGUGAAUAACAGGGCUCUCUUUUUCUCCUCCCCCCCCCCAUUUGCUGUAUUUAGUGUAUUGCUGUGGGGCUGAAUACAAUGGGUAAUGUGUACUCAAAAAAAGAAAAGGUAUUUUAGUUGAGACUUAAAGGAAGCCAGGAAGGUUAGAGGUCAGAGUGGAGGAGGGCUAGUAUUCCAGUCAUGGGAGACAACCGGGGAAAAUGCCCAGAGCUGAGAGAUGGAAUGCCUUGUUCUUGAAACAGCCAGGAGGCCAGUGUCACUGUCAUUGGGUACUAAGGCAUAAGAAGAUUGGAAAGGGCUUUGAAUGCCAAACAGCAUUUGUAUUUACAGAAGCAAUGGGAUUCCAUGGGAGUUUAUUGAAUAAGGAAGUGACUGACAUGAUUGGAAGUGCAUUUUAGGAAAUUCACUUUUGUGGCUGAAUGGAGGAUGGAUUGGAAUGGGGACAGACUUAGGGCAGUCUGUAGCAAUGGUACAGGCAUGAAGUGAUGAAAGUCUGCCCCAGAGUGCUGGCAGUGUCCACGAAGGUGAGGGAGGCAUAUUUAAAAGAUGUUGCAAAGGUGAAAUUGGCAGGCCUUGGCAACAGCUUGGAAAUGGGGGUGAGAGACAGUGAGGAAUCCAGAAUGGUCCUAGGCUGUGAGCCUGAGGGAUUGCCCUUUACCGUAAUAGAGAAAGUAGGAGGUGGGGAGAAUUCUGU